rnacentral:lncRNA from 1 species
CCUGGCCAUCUGGCACAGCACUGCGAGGGCCAGUCUAGCUGCAGAGGACCUGAGAGGUCAGCCCAGGCUCCCUUCCUUAGGGCGGAUCCUAGGGCUCUCCUUACUAAACAUCCCAUACUCACAACUCCUUUCCCAAAUCGGUUUCCCAGAGAACCCCAGUGCUUUCAUGUGGUUGCAGAUAUUGCCAAGAAUGAAAGCACAUCGGCUUGGUAUCCUAGGACUAGUAUGCCAGCUAAACAACGAUAAAGGAGCUACAAAUCCCGGUUUCCACAGGGUCUUUUUACCCCCUCUGUCAACUGCACAGCCACUUUCUUGAUAAACCAGACAAAGCAGCAAAGGGUGCCUUGUGAACUCUUCAAAGUGAAGACUCAAUUCUGGCAACAAACACAACAGAAACAGUGGCAGCAGCAAGGGGAACCCUUCCUGUAGAAUGACCUAGAAUCUCACCUUUCAAGCUGUGAAUCCCUCUCUUCCCUUAUUAAUAUAUCAACAUGGCACCAACUCUUCUAUUUCAAUAAACUAAUUUUAAUAGUAGAGCAAACUUGGUUGAAAAUUUUUUUCUAUUUUAUUUUGGUAAGAACACUUAACAUGACAUCUACCCUCCUAACAACUUUUUGAGUUGACCAUACAUUAUUGCUGACUACAGGUACCAUACUGUAUAGCUGAUCUCUAGAGUCCGUUCACCUUGUCUGACUGAAACUUCAUGCCUUUUUGUCAAUAACUCCCUAUUUCCCCCUUCCCCUAGCUCCUGGUAACUGUCAUUCUACUCUUGGAUUCUACGAAGUUGACUCUUUUGGAUGCCUCAUGUAAAGUGGAAUUGGGUAGUAUUUGUCUUUCUGUGGCUGGUAUAUCACACUUCGUUUCAUUUCUAUUGAUUCAUUUCACAGAACCAGACCCAAGCUUCCAGGGGCUGUGUGUGUGCAUUCACCAUUGUAUAUUCUGUGGUCAUGACAAUACCUGGCACGUAUAAGGCAGUCAAGAAUAUUUGUGGAUUAAGAAACUUGCUCAUCGGUGUUAUAAUAUAAAAUCAUUUUUAAUAUGUCCAAUGGUUUGGGGAUAAUGGUGUUCUUUUACAGCUCUCCACCCUCUUCUCACCC